CAAGGUUUCCGUAGGUGAACCUGCGGAAGGAUCAUUGUCGAAACCUGCAUAGCAGAAUGACCCGUGGACUUGUAUCUAAAGUUGGGAGAGUGUUAGAUGGGUCUCGGCCAAUCUUGUGCUAAUCCUAGCUAGGGAUUGGGCAUGUUGUCCUGUAAGGGCUCAUGUCUAUGUUUCUAGCUGAACAUUGAACCCGGCGUGAGCUGCGCCAAGGAAAUAAAAAAAGAUAUUACAUUUCUCGUUCCUGUUUACGGGGGCAAGGAGUGGUAUAAUCUUGCAUAUAUUAAAAUGACUCUCGGCAACGGAUAUCUAGGCUCUCGCAUCGAUGAAGAACGUAGCAAAAUGCGAUACUUGGUGUGAAUUGCAGAAUCCCGUGAACCAUCGAGUUUUUGAACGCAAGUUGCGCCCGAAGCCUUUAGGCUGAGGGCACGUCUGCCUGGGCGUCUCCUUAUGCGUCGGUCCCCCCACUCCUAUAAGGAUGUUGGUUUGGUGGAGCGGAAAAUGGCUCCCUGUGUGCUUUUUGUAUGCGGUCGGCCAAAAAAUGAGUCUAGGCGAUCGGCGUCGCGACAAGUGGUGGUUGUUAAACUGUUGCUAGCUGUCUCGCACGUUUGAGUCGUUAUUGGAAUGACUCUUUGACCCUGGAGCUCCAUUUCAUGAAAAUGGUCUCACGAUUGCGACCCCAGGUCAGGCGGGAUUACCCGCUGAGUUUA
rnacentral:rRNA from 1 species